UACGAAGGGGGCUAGCGUUGUUCGGAAUUACUGGGCGUAAAGGGCGCGUAGGCGGCUUGGCAAGUUGGGUGUGAAAGCCCAGGGCUCAACCCUGGAAUUGCACUCAAGACUGCUUUGCUUGAAUUCGGUAGAGGUUGGUGGAAUUCCCAGUGUAGAGGUGAAAUGACGCAGAUAUCAGGAGGAACACCGGUGGCGAAGGCGGGUCUCUGGGCCGAUAUUGACGCUGAGGAGCGAAAGCGUGGGGAGCGAACAGG
rnacentral:rRNA from 1 species